CUCCUUCACUGUCCCCAUCCCAGGUUCAAACCAGUCUGCUCCCAAACACACGGCACCGUGGUCCUUGUACCAGUAGAGGUUCCUUCACUGUCCCCAUCCCAGGUUCAAACCAGUCUGCUCCCAAACACACGGCACCGUGGUCCUUGUACCAGUAGAGGUUCCUUCACUGUCCCCAUCCCAGGUUCAAACCAGUCUGCUCCCAAACACACGGCACCGUGGUCCUUGUACCAGUAGAGGUUCCUUCACUGUCCCCAUCCCAGGUUCAAACCAGUCUGCUCCCAAACACACGGCACCGUGGUCCUUGUACCAGUAGAGGUUCCUUCACUGUCCCCAUCCCAGGUUCAAACCAGUCUGCUCCCAAACACACGGCACCGUGGUCCUUGUACCAGUAGAGGUUCCUUCACUGUCCCCAUCCCAGGUUCAAACCAGUCUGCUCACAAACACACGGCACUGUGGUCCUUGUUUGUAGCUUUUAUUUACACAGGGAAGAGACCGUACCAACAGAUUCAUCUAUGUUUUUAAAAAGGCACCAAUUGGAUAGCUCCAUCGGUACCAGUUCAAGCUAGCUGUGAUCUUCCGGCACGUUCUGGACUCUAUUACAUUGGCUGGGAGAGAGAUGGUCCAUUAUAAGUGGUUGUAUCCUGAAUGGCCAUUGGCUGGGAGAGAGAUGGUCCAUUAGAAGUGGUUGUAUCCUGAAUGGCCAUUGGCUGGGAGAGAGAUGGUCCAUUAUAAGUGGUUGUAUCCUGAAUGGCCAUUGGCUGGGAGAGAGAUGGUCCAUUAUAAGUGGUUGUAUCCUGAAUGGCCAUUGGCUGGGAGAGAGAUGGUCCAUUAGAAGUGGUUGUAUCCUGAAUGGCCAUUGGCUGGGAGAGAGAUGGUCCAUUAGAAGUGGUUGUAUCCUGAAUGGCCAUUGGCUGGGAGAGAGAUGGUCCAUUAGAAGUGGUUGUAUCCUGAAUGGCCAUUGGCUAAAAGUUGGAGACUCACAUGUAAACAAGCUGGACCUUCUGAACUGACGGCUGACUCGAUGUUUGCUGCUAACAGUAACCAGUAAGUGUUCUCGCGCAUAUUCAGCGAUACAACAUGUGAUAUGUACGCUACACUACCUGCUCGUCCAACAUCUCAUUUCAAAAUCAUGGGUGUUAAUAUAGAGUUGGUCUCCCCCUUUACUGCUAUAACAGCCUCCACUCUUCUGGGAAGGCUUUCCACUAGAUGUUGGAACAUUGCUGCUAUAACAGCCUCCACUCUCCUGGGAAGGCUUUCCACUAGAUGUUGGAACAUUGCUGCUAUAACAGCCUCCACUGUUCUGGGAAGGCUUUCCACUAGAUGUUGGAACAUUGCUGCUAUAACAGCCUCCACUCUUCUGGGAAGGCUUUCCACUAGAUGUUGGAACAUUGCUGCUAUAACAGCCUCCACUCUCCUUGGAAGGCUUUCCACUAGAUGUUGGAACAUUGCUGCUAUAACAACCUCCACUCUUCUGGGAAGGCUUUCCACUAGAUGUUGGAACAUUGCUGCUAUAACAGCCUCCACUCUUCUGGGAAGGCUUUCCACUAGAUGUAGGAACAUUGCUGCUAUAACAGCCUCCACUCUUCUGGGAAGGCUUUCCACUAGAUGUUGGAACAUUGCUGAGGGGACUUGCUUCCAUUCAGCCACAAGAGCAUUAGUGAGAUCGGGGCACGGAUGUUGGGCGAUUAGGCCUGGUUCGCAGUCUGCAUUCCAAUUCAUGCCAAAGGUGUUCGAUGGGGUUGAGGUCAGUGCUCUGUGCAGGCCAGUCAAGUUCUUCCACACCAAUCUCGAUAAACUAUGUAUGGACCUCGCUUUGUGCACGGGGCACUAUCAUGCUGAAACAGGAAAGGGCCUUCAGCAAACUG